rnacentral:rRNA from 1 species
CGAACGCUGGUGGCGUGUCUAUACAUGCAAGUCGAGCGAGGCAGCAAUGCCGAGCGGCAACGGGUGAGUAACGCGUAAGCAAUCUGCCCCAUAUCAGGAAAUACCCGUGCCAACGCGCGGUUAAUGUCCAGGAGAGUGGCCCUCUGCAUGGAGGGUUGACUAGAGAUUUAUCGGUAUGGGAUGAGCUUGCGUCCGAUUAGCUAGUUGGCGGGGCAACGGCCCACCAAGGCGACGAUCGGUAGCCGGCCUGAGAGGGUGAUCGGCCACAUUGGGACUGAGAUACGGCCCAGACUCCUACGGGAGGCAGCAGUAGGGAAUAUUGCACAAUGGGGGAAACCCUGAUGCAGCAACGCCACGUGUGGGAAGAAGCAUUUCGGUGUGUAAACCACUGUCAUGAGGGAAUAAGGCCCUUAUUCGUAAGGGACUUGAAUGUACCUUGAGAGGAAGCACCGGCAAACUUCGUGCCAGCCGCCGC